GCAGGAGCUAAACUUGACUGGAAGGCAUCUUUUUANCAUUUUAAACAAUGUUUUGAAAUCCAGUACUGUUUUUUCUGCUUUUAUAUGUACACAGAUAUGAAGAGAGAAUGGAGGGAAGAGUCUGAAGAGGAUAAACACCACUGACAAUGGUCAAAUACCAAAUGUUUGUUAUGUAACAACAAGGAUGAAACUUUUGAUCAUCUAAUCAGUGGAUGUAGCAAAAUGACCCAGACAGACUAACAAUGUCAUGAUUGAGUUCCAACACUUAUCCACUGGAACCUUUACAGGAAAUGUAGUUUACUCAAAAUACUGGGAUCACAACAACAUAGAAAUGGUCCUAGAAAAUUAGAAGGUUAAAAUUUUAUCAGUUUUUUUUUUAAUUCAGACUGGUAGGCACCUUGAACACAGCACUCCAGACAUUGCUAUAGUUGAAACAGAAGUGCUUCCAACUGAAGGCAAAAAUGUGAUUAAGUCAUUUGAUUAAUUGCACAAUUACCACUAGUAAUUCCUGCAAUACAUGCCUCCCCACAGACAUUUCCUAAAAUUGGGCAAACACAAUGGAUUUUUUUCAGCUUAUGAACCUCAUGGAGAUUUCAUGGAAGAUAAAUGGGAUAUUUAAUUGACCAUCAUUGCAUCAUCUAGAUGAUGACGNAAGCAAAAGAGAAUGGCAUGCUCAGCAUAUAACUCACAGGAUCAGUCUGAAAGCAAACAGUGAAGUACUCUACAAAAGAUGAGAGCAAUAACAUUAAUUUGUAUCAGCCAAGAUUGUUAUAGACAUAGUACAUCUUCCCAUCACCAGCACCAAAAUGCUUAUUCUUCUGAUGAAAACAAUUAUCAAAGCAUAUUACCUUUAAUCUGGAUAAGGCACAAUAAUAUAAUCUCGAAGAACAUAAUGGGCCUGAAAACGGAACUCUUUUCAUAAUUUCCAUAUAACUUAAGACAGGUGUAUGGCCACUCUUUGAAACUUUUGAGGUAAAGUAUUUGUUUUUAUUCUCACUUUGUCUAUGAAAUACAGUGUCUUUGUUAA
rnacentral:lncRNA from 1 species